rnacentral:rRNA from 1 species
GAUGAACGCUGGCGGCGUGCCUAAUACAUGCAAGUCGAGCGAACAGAUGAGGAGCUUGCUCCUCUGACGUUAGCGGCGGACGGGUGAGUAACACGUGGAUAACCUACCUAUAAGACUGGGAUAACUUCGGGAAACCGGAGCUAAUACCGGAUAAUAUAUUGAACCGCAUGGUUCAAUAGUGAAAGACGGUUUUGCUGUCACUUAUAGAUGGAUCCGCGCCGCAUUAGCUAGUUGGUAAGGUAACGGCUUACCAAGGCAACGAUGCGUAGCCGACCUGAAAGGGUGAUCGGCCACACUGGAACUGAGACACGGUCCAGACUCCUACGGGAGGCAGCAGUAGGGAAUCUUCCGCAAUGGGCGAAAGCCUGACGGAGCAACGCCGCGUGAGUGAUGAAGGUCUUCGGAUCGUAAAACUCUGUUAUUAGGGAAGAACAAAUGUGUAAGUAACUAUGCACGUCUUGACGGUACCUAAUCAGAAAGCCACGGCUAACUCCGUG